GGCCUAAUGGUCUAGAAGUAUGAUACUCGCUUUGGGUUACGCGGCUCGAUAGUGCGAGUGGUCCUGGGUUCAAUUCCCAGUUAGGCCC